GGCUGAGAAAUGAUGCUGGGGCCUGGAUACUCUUAAUCCCUGACUCCAGUUUAGAUCCAGGGAGACUAUCAGGGUGGAGUUGGCACUAAUCCCUGGGGAGUGGGCCGUCCUUGCUCUGAAAAGAACCAGUAAACAGUUACCAGUCAGAUAAUACCAUUGCUUCACUUCUUUUCUUUUUACAGGAGAUGUUUACCUUGGAUCUCACUGAUGGGGUGGUGGUUUGGGGGAGAAUUGUAAUCUGACUCACUAGAGUUUGAUUUCAUCACAGUAAAGCUUGAUUUUUAACUAUUCCCCAGAGUCCUCAGAUCUUUAUUUCAUAGCCCCAAGAACUCACUGAGAGCCCCACUUGAACCAAACUUGGCUUUUCCAAGGAAGGUCAAGAUAGAAGCUUUGAUUGUUUGCUUGCUUGUUUAUUGCAGGGGCAGGGAAAUAGUUUUAGGCUGUGUUCCCUUCUGGGAGCUUUUUGCAAGUGGUGCGGUAUUCACAUCCGUGUAAUGGCCAUGUUGUGGCACUGCACAGGUGUCUGGUCACGCCAGAGGCAUUCAGGGUCCUGUGAACAUGUCAUACUAUAUUCCAGGUCCUGUCUCCAUGAGACUAUAAUGCCAGACCAGUUCCUGAGGUACAGUAGUUUUGGACUUCAGCUUCCAUCAUCACUGACCGCUGGCCAUGUUGGCAGGGACAGAUGGGAAUUGCAGCCCGAUGCAUCUGAAGCGCACCAGGUUUACAAAGGCUGGGACAUCCUCCUUAAAGAGUGGGAACAAUGUGAGGUCGAACUGGUGCAGAGUAAAGUGCAACUACUAGUUGCAACAAUUUGCAAGGUGUGGUUUUAUGAAUGCAGCCUAAAAUUGCAUUAAUUUUCUUUGUAGGUACACAACAAUGCUGACUCAUGUUCACUGCAGUCCUGAGAUCCUUUUCACACGAACAGCUGCCAAGCAGAGAAUUCCACAGUUCUAUACUGAUGUUUUCAAACAAACAAACAAACAUUAUCAGCUUAA